CCACAGUGUCUCAGCUUCUACCAGAAAAAAUGUCGAUUAUCGCAUAUCCCCUACCUCACGAAUGAUUACAAAAUAUUUCAGAAUAUAUCUCUUUUAUUGCGUAUGUACGUAUUUUUAACCAGUUGACACAUUGCAACAUCUUACAAAGGACACGUAACAUAGACAAAUGGGAGAACAAAUGGCGAGCGUAACAGAUGAGAAAAGAUACGAUGCCAAGGAGAUUGUUGAAUAACUUUGCCAGCAAUCUGGCUCUCUAGCAGAGAAAAGUGCAGUUCUGUUCUGUACAUUUGGGCCACGAUGACGCAUCAAUAAGCAGCAUGCAAUUGGUUUAGCAAGAUAUUAUCAAUCUAAGAUUCUCAAGGAAGACUAUAGUAAACUUUUGUUAACCUAAGCGAGCAGUCUAUUUGAUUAUAAAAAAAAGAGAUUCUCACGCCUAUUACUCUCUCAUUAUCGACAAUUUAACAUUAAUUAACUGUAACUUUUUCUUUCAUAUGAAAAUCAACAAUUUAAAUUUCAAAAGUUAUUAAACUGAAAACAGAAUAAUUAAAUACUCCAUCAAAUGUGCAUUAAUUUAAAUGCUGCAUUUACAUAAAAUACACAUACUAUUUAAAAUAAAAUGAACUGUUGCUCAUUCUUAUUAAAUAAACUAUCCGGAAAUUUAUAAAAAUUUAAGUAGACAAUGUAACGGAAGUGCAAGCAGAUAUCAAUCACUCAAAUUUAUAAAUUGAUACGCACUUCCCAGUGGGAAAUGAUUCGUUGAUCGAUGUCGAAACGAUGUCGAAACG